GCAAGUCGAACGGUAACAUUAUUAGAAGCUUGCUUCUAAUAGAUGACGAGUGGCGGACGGGUGAGUAACGCGUAGGAAUCUGCCCUAAAGCGGGGGAUAACCUAGGGAAACUUAGGCUAAUACCGCAUAAUCUCUACGGAGCAAAGGCUAUAGUUUACUAUAGUCACUUUAGGAUGAGCCUGCGUUGGAUUAGUUUGUUGUUAGGGUAAAAGCCUAACAAGACUAAGAUCCAUAGCUGUUCUGAGAGGAAGAUC
rnacentral:rRNA from 1 species